rnacentral:rRNA from 1 species
UCGAGAAUCUUCGGCAAUGGGCGAAAGCCUGACCGAGCGAUGCCGCGUGCGGGAUGAAGGCCUUCGGGUUGUAAACCGCUGUCGUAGGGGAGAAAGGGUCGUUGAAGAAACGACUUUGAUCUAUCCUAGGAGGAAGUCCGGGCUAAGUUCGUGCCAGCAGCCGCGGUAACACGAACCGGACAAACGUUAUUCGGAAUUACUGGGCUUAAAGGGUGCGUAGGCGGUGCGGUAAGUGCGGUGUGAAAUCCCACGGCUCAACCGUGGAAUUGCGCUGCAUACUGCCGUGCUAGAGGGAGACAGGGGUAAGCGGAACUGAUGGUGGAGCGGUGAAAUGCGUUGAUAUCAUCAGGAACACCGGUGGCGAAAGCGGCUUACUGGGUCUCUUCUGACGCUGAGGCACGAAAGCUAGGGUAGCGAACGGGAUUAGAUACCCAAGUAGUCCCUG